rnacentral:rRNA from 1 species
AGGACGACGCUGGCGGCGUGCCUAACACAUGCAAGUCGAGCGAGGAGAUCCUUCGGGAUGAUCCUAGCGGCGGACGGGUGAGUAACACGUGGGCAACCUGCCUCAUAGAGAGGAAUAGCCUUCCGAAAGGGAGAUUAAUACCUCAUAACAUUGCAGUUUCGCAUGGAACAGCAAUUAAAGGAGCAAUCCGCUAUGAGAUGGGCCCGCGGCGCAUUAGCUAGUUGGUGAGGUAACGGCUCACCAAGGCGACGAUGCGUAGCCGACCUGAGAGGGUGAUCGGCCACAUUGGGACUGAGACACGGCCCAGACUCCUACGGGAGGCAGCAGUGGGGAAUAUUGCACAAUGGGGGAAACCCUGAUGCAGCCAACGCCGCGUGAGUGAUGACGGCCUUCGGGUUGUAAAGCUCUGUCUUCAGGGACGAUAAUGACGGUACCUGAGGAGGAAGCCACGGCUAACUACGUGCCAGCAGCUGC